GAAUGGGGACCGCAGGUUGCAAUGACAAGGGGGUUUCGACUGUUUAAUAAAAACACAGGCGACUGCUAGUCCGAAAGGAUUUGUAUAGUCGCUGAAUCCUGGCCGGUGCCGGUACCUAAAACUUGGGUUCAACCGAGCUAAGGGCCGGUUAACGCCGGGAGUAACUCUGACUCUCUUAAGGUAGCCAAAUGCCUUGUCGGGUAAGUUCCGACGCGCAUGAAUGGAACAACGAGAGCCCCACUGUCCCCGCCUACAACCCGGUGAAGCCACAUAAGGUGGACGAACAGUCCAUCAACUUCCAUUGGGGAGAGAAGACCCCGUGGAGUUUUACUGCAGCUUGUGCUUGUGGUAUAGUAAGAAUUGCACAGGGUAUCUGGGAGCCAUGCUUAACAUUCCCCGGGAUGUUAAUGAAGCAACGAUGUAACACCAGACUCUUUUUGCAGUACCACUUAUCCAGUGAAGACCGGAGACACGUGCAGGUAGGCAGUUCGGCUGGGGCGGCACCCCUUUGAAAAGAUAUCAAAGGGGCCCAAAGUUGAGUUCAAACGGGGCAGAAAUCCGUUGAAGAGGGCAAAGCCAAAAACUCGACUGAAUGGAUUUCCAAACGCACGGAAUUCAUAGACGAAAGUCUGGCUUAGCGAUCCUUCGUGUGCCCACUAUUGGGGCCCGGAGGUGACAGAAAAAUUACCCCAGGGAUAACAGGCUCGUCGCGGGCGAGAGCUCCUAUCGACCCCGCGGUUUGGUACCUCGAUGUCGGCUUUUCCUAUCCUGGUCCUGCAGCAGGGGCCAAGGGUGAGGCUGCUCGCCUAUUAAAAGGGAACAUGAGCUGGGUUUAGACCGUCGUGAGACAGGUCGGUCUCUGCCUAAUGGAAGCGUGAAUAACUGAGGGGAAGUUGCUCCUAGUACGAGAGGAACAGAGCAGCGUGGCCACUGGUUUACCGGUUGUCUGAUAAGGCAGGCCGGGCAGCUAAGCCGUUUGGGCUAAGUGCUGAAAGCAUCUAAGCACGAAUCCCAUCCCGAGACAAGUUAUUCUUUCGUAAGAUGAAGGUCGGCAGCAAAAUACUGCGUUGAUAGGAAGGUGGUGUAGAUCACAAGCUUAGGCGAGUGGUGAGCCAGCCUUUACUAAUAGACCAACACAUCAGUUCA
rnacentral:rRNA from 1 species